CGCUGUUAUCCCUAAGGUAAUUUAGUCUUAUAAUCAUUAAAAAUGGAUCAAAAACUUGUAAAUAAAUAUAAAAAAAAAUAAAAAGAGUUAUAUUAAUCUUCCCAUCACCCCAACAAAAUUUAAAUAAUAUUAAAAUUAUUACCCCACAAAAAAUAAAAAAUUAAAUUAAACUCUAUAGGGUCUUCUCGUCCCAAAAAAUUAUUUAGGCAUUUUAACCUAAAAUUUAAAUUCAACAAAAUAAAAAUUUAAGAAAGUAUAUACCUCGUCAAACCAUUCAUUCCAGCAUUCAAUUAAAAAACUAAUGAUUAUGCUACCUUUGCACAGUCAAAAUACUGCGGCCAUUUAAAAUCAGUGGGCAGGCAAUACUUCAAAUAAAUUACAAGAAGAGAUGUUUUUGUUAAACAGGGG
rnacentral:rRNA from 1 species